AGACCAUCCCCUGAAGAAGUUCUAAACUGCAAAUGUUCAGCAGGAACGAAUAUGAUAUUAAGCACAUAGCAAAAAUUCCAGGGAGAGUUUCUCCACUUGAUAAAGUUGGGUGUGGAAAAGCAACUUCUCUUUCUAGAUCACUGCUGAGUCCCCGUGUAUAUGGCCUGAAACAAAAAGGCAAGGACCCUACACUUUUUUUUUCCACAGAGCAUUGAUCACACAUGGAUGAAACAUGAUGUGUUAACUGGAUCGAGAGACCUAAAAUUCAUAAGAAUUGAAAACAGUUCGUAUAAAGUAAACCAGAGAAAGAAAUGCUUUAACCUUACAUUGAACCUUGAUGGAAAUUCAAAGCUUAACUGCUAAUAUGUCAACAACACUGGCACAAUUCACAUUUCAAUCCAUUUGAGCUCUGGCGCUGCACGGGGAUUUGCAUACUACUGCAACCAAUUGAUCUUCUCCAAGAUGUGCU
rnacentral:misc_RNA from 1 species